rnacentral:lncRNA from 1 species
GUCAUUGAUUUCAAGAGCAUCUACUGUGGAUGGCUUUAAGGUUUUCUUACACUUACUGUCCCUUGCCGUUCUUACACCAACCACAGAUCUGAAGCCGCCUUUGUAGCAACUCUUGACUGACUUCUAANAACUCUGACUUCUAGGUAAUCUGCCAGCUUUGAAGCUGACCUUGGCUUCAUUGCAGCUGAACAGCCAGCAUUGCAUAAUCAGUGCAACGGAACUGAUGCAUAUGUGGAAAUACACGGUUGUAAGAAAUAUAGAAGGUUGAGUCAAGGCAUGUAUCUAGGAAUCAAGCAUUUGAACGAUGCAAGAGUCCUGUGCUCACACUCAGGUGACAUUGUAAACAAGAAGCGGGCAGCAUUAUCUUCUGCAAAUGGUAACCAACCUUGUUUGUCCGAGUAAUUAACUGACCAAGAAGUCGGAGUGAGUGGACUUGUAGGCUUUAAAGUUUUACGUUGUAUUUUUGAAUACAGGCUUUUGUACAUUAAUUCUACAUUUGUAAAUUCAACUUCCAUGAUAAAGAGAUUGCACUACAGUACUUGUAUGAGGU